GGCGGAGCCAAGCUCGGCGGAGGGAGUCGGUUGCACCACUUCCUUUCCGUAUUGCGGGGAGAGAAAUAAAGGCCUCGUAGCUGCCAGUUCCUUCAAUAAACAAUAUAGUUUACCUUUUGCAAAUUUGGGUCCAUUUCUGAAAUGAUUGAAAAACAAACCAGUUUAUCAAAGAGAAACAACGUGCGUUCAUUUUUGGCCCUCUGGAUGCGGAAAGUUCCUUCUAGCACCAGCUCUCCAUAACUCGCAAGGUCUGGGCCUUUCCAGUUCGAUCUAUCAGAUGUUAUGUGGAACUCUUUGUACAAGGCUUAGGACACUGUAAACACACCAGUCACUCAGCAUGAGAUGGGGUUACAAACAUUGUGGGUAAAUGACGCAGACCACACUGGGACUUUCAGAAAACUCAGGCAACAGGGGGUAAAAGUGGAAGUGAGCAGUACAAAUUCAGCACGUUACAGAUCACAGUUUGUUUGUUUUUUCUGUGUGAAAUAAAAGUGGCCAAUUCAAAGACAGUUCUUUAAAAGUAUAAAUGUAUAAUUUAGCCUUUGUAGGUUGAAUAGAGUGUAGACAAAAGUUCAUUGACAAAGCGUUUUACUUACAUGCAAAAGUAAAUGAUAUUUCAGUAUUCUUUGAACAGGCUUUAAAAGAUAGGAUCCCAAAGGAAGAGAAUGUUGUAAAGCUUCUUGUCUUUCUCUGAAAAACUUGGCUAAGGACUUGUUUCUCAUGCAUUCGCCGAUCGCUCCUCUGUACCCAAAGACAGCUUGGAUUGGUCAGUGAUACAAUCAAGUCUGAGUACCCAACUUCAAUAUUUCUACUUGCAUUCUACUCUACCAACAGUUUCAAACAGCAAACUCCAUGAAUAUGUCUAUCCAGUUUUCCUGACAAGAGUAUGAAAAUGGUUUGCUGUUGUCUUUCCAAACCUAGAUUUUAACAGCCAUAUGUUGCCACCUGUUGAAACAUCAAGACUUUUCAUACAUGGAAACAAGGUUUUCGUGGCAUAUUUGGCUUUCUUCCAAUAUUUCCAUCAGAGAGCUGUUCCUUGAUAGGGUUAUUUUUUCUUAGCUCUUUGCUGGGCAACUGUUGGGUUGGUGCAGCUCCAACUUAUGGCCCCCACUUCCUUGUCCUGAUUGAACAAACCCAGAUGACUGUUGGAAACCAAGGUUGUUCUGCCUGCCACAGGAACAGUGACUAUCUCUGGAGGAUGCUGAGGAAGAUGUUGAGCUGAAGCUAACCGGUCGGUCACUGUCUGACAAUUC